rnacentral:ncRNA from 1 species
UCUCCGAAAGGGCAAAGGCACGGGAAACCGUGUCGGCGCAAAGCCGCGGAUCUAAGGUCUCCCGCUUCGACAGGGACGUUCACAGCGGCAGUAGGAGCGAGAGACUAUGGUGGCCGGGCUACCGAA